rnacentral:rRNA from 1 species
UACAGAGGUCUCGAGCGUUAGGCGGAAUCACUGGGCUUAAAGCGUGUGUAGGCGGGUUGGUAAGUCCCUUGUGAAAUCCCACGGCUCAACCGUGGAACUGCUGGGGAUACUGCCGAUCUUGUGCAACCUAGGGGCGAGCGGAACAGAUGGUGGAGCGGUGAAAUGCGUAGAUAUCAUCUGGAACGCCAAUGGUGAAAACAGCUCGCUGGGGGUUUACAGACGCUGAGACACGAAAGCCAGGGGAGCGAACGGG